AGGUAGUUAGUCCAAACAAGACAGUUGAUUUCGGCUCAACAAAUUUUGGUUAAACUCCAAGACUCCCUU
rnacentral:tRNA from 1 species